rnacentral:rRNA from 1 species
AUUGAACGCUGGCGGCAUGCUUUACACAUGCAAGUCGAACGGUAACAGGGAGCUUGCUCCGCUGACGAGUGGCGAACGGGUGAGUAAUGCGUCGGAACGUGCCGAGUAGUGGGGGAUAACGCAGCGAAAGUUGUGCUAAUACCGCAUACGUACUGAGGUAGAAAGUGGGGGACCUUCGGGCCUCACGCUAUUCGAGCGGCCGACGUCUGAUUAGCUAGUAGGUGAGGUAAAGGCUCACCUAGGCGACGAUCAGUAGCGGGUCUGAGAGGAUGAUCCGCCACACUGGGACUGGGACACGGCCCAGACUCCUACGGGAGGCAGCAGUGGUGAAUUUUGGACAAUGGGCGAAAGCCUGAUCCAGCCAUGCCGCGUGUGUGAAGAAGGCCUUAUGGUUGUAAAGCACUUUAAGCGAGGAGGAGGCUGCUGAGACUAAUACUCUUGGAUAGUGGACGUUACUCGCAGAAUAAGCACCGGCUAACUCUGUGCCAGCCGCCGCUGUAACAC